rnacentral:tRNA from 1 species
GGAGCAGUAGCAAAGUUGGUCAAUGCACCGGAUUGAAAUGAGUUUACGAAUUCAACGAAACCUAUUUAUUAAAUAGAAUUCAGUGAGUUAAACUCUGGCUAUAUAGGUUCGAAUCCUGUCUGUUCCA